rnacentral:rRNA from 1 species
AGUAACGGCGAGUGAAGCGGCAACAGCUCAAAUUUGAAAUCUGGCUCUUUCAGGGUCCGAGUUGUAAUUUGUAGAAGAUGCUUCGGGUGUGGCUCNGGUCUAAGUUCCNUGGAACAGGACGUCAUAGAGGGUGAGAAUCCNGNAUGUGACUGNCUNCCUUCGCCUAUGUGAAGCUNUUUCGACGAGUCGAGUUGUUUGGGA